UGGGGAAUCUUGGACAAUGGGCGCAAGCCUGAUCCAGCCAUGCCGCGUGAGUGAUGAAGGCCUUAGGGUCGUAAAACUCUUUCAGCGGGGACGAUAAUGACGGUACCCGCAGAAGAAGCUCCGGCUAACUUCGUGCCAGCAGCCGCGGUAAUACGAAGGGGGCUAGCGUUGUUCGGAAUUACUGGGCGUAAAGCGCGCGCAGGCGGUUCUUCAAGUCAGAGGUGAAAGCCCAGAGCUCAACUCUGGAAUUGCCUUUGAGACUGUAGGACUUGGGUACGGGAGAGGUGAGUGGAAUUCCGAGUGUAGAGGUGAAAUUCGUAGAUAUUCGGAAGAACACCAGUGGCGAAGGCGGCUCACUGGCCCGUUACCGACGCUCAGGCGCGAUAGCGUGGGGAGCAAACAGGAUUAGAUACCCUGGUAGUCCACGCCGUAAACGAUGGAUGCUAGCCGUUGGUAAGCAUGCUUUUCAGUGUCGCAGUUAACGCAUUAAGCACUCCGCCUGGGGAGUACGGCCGCAAGGUUA
rnacentral:rRNA from 1 species